rnacentral:rRNA from 1 species
CAGAGGUGGCAAGCGUUGUUCGGAAUUACUGGGCGUAAAGGGCGCGUAGGCGGCCAUCUAAGUCAGACGUGAAAUCCCCCGGCUUAACCUGGGAACUGCGUCUGAUACUGGACGGCUCGAGUAUGGGAGAGGGAUGUAGAAUUCCAGGUGUAGCGGUGAAAUGCGUAGAUAUCUGGAGGAAUACCGGUGGCGAAGGCGGCAUCCUGGACCAUUUACUGACGCUGAGGCGCGAAAGCUAGGGGAGCAAACGGGAUUAGAUACCCCGGUAGUCCUAGCCCCAAACGAUGAAUGCUUGGUGUGGCGGGUAUCGAUCCCUGCCGUGCCGAAGCUAACGCAUUAAGCAUUCCGCCUGGGGAGUACGGUCGCAAGGCUG